rnacentral:rRNA from 1 species
GACGAACGCUGGCGGCGUGCCUAAUACAUGCAAGUCGAGCGAUGAUUAAAGAUAGCUUGCUAUUUUUAUGAAGAGCGGCGAACGGGUGAGUAACGCGUGGGAAAUCUGCCGAGUAGCGGGGGACAACGUUUGGAAACGAACGCUAAUACCGCAUAACAAUGAGAAUCGCAUGAUUCUUAUUUAAAAGAAGCAAUUGCUUCACUACUUGAUGAUCCCGCGUUGUAUUAGCUAGUUGGUAGUGUAAAGGACUACCAAGGCGAUGAUACAUAGCCGACCUGAGAGGGUGAUCGGCCACACUGGGACUGAGACACGGCCCAGACUCCUACGGGAGGCAGCAGUAGGGAAUCUUCGGCAAUGGGGGCAACCCUGACCGAGCAACGCCGCGUGAGUGAAGAAGGUUUUCGGAUCGUAAAACUCUGUUGUUAGAGAAGAACGUUAAGUAGAGUGGAAAAUUACUUAAGUGACGGUAUCUAACCAGA